AAAAAACCAUCUCACUUUAACAGAAAGCAUGCAAGUGCCCUUUUCUGGAGGAGGUGGGAAUGAGGGAGUACACAGACUUUAGGAGUGGGGAUUCAGCUCUGUGGCUCCAGGAAGGUUAAUCUUCAAUGUUAAUCCGUUUAGAUAAAGUUGUUAGUUAAAAGGUAAUCUGUUUAGCCUCCCUUUCCCCAUUCUCCUGCCAGAAAAGAGGGAGUUCAAGUGUUACAACCAUGUGUGAGUUGUUUACAGUACGCACAGGUAUGGGCUGAAGGGAAACAAAGCUUAAGGGAUGACUAGAAAGGCUUGCUGAAAUUGCUAUGGGAGGGCCCCACCCUCCAAGCCAUCUCCCCUCACACCCCGCUCGGUUUCAGUUUCUGCAGCUUGGUUAUGCGACAUUCUCUUAAUCCUUUUUUGAAUCUGGUCUCU
rnacentral:lncRNA from 1 species